GAGUUUGAUCAUGGCUCAGAUUGAACGCUGGCGGCAUGCUUUACACAUGCAAGUCGAACGGCAGCGGGGGCUUCGGCCCGCCGGCGAGUGGCGAACGGGUGAGUAAUGCAUCGGAACGUGCCCAGUGGUGGGGGAUAACUACGCGAAAGCGUAGCUAAUACCGCAUACGCCCUGAGGGGGAAAGCGGGGGAUCUUCGGACCUCGCGCGAUUGGAGCGGCCGAUGUCGGAUUAGCUAGUUGGUGAGGUAAAGGCUCACCAAGGCGACGAUCCGUAGCUGGUCUGAGAGGAUGAUCAGCCACACUGGGACUGAGACACGGCCCAGACUCCUACGGGAGGCAGCAGUGGGGAAUUUUGGACAAUGGGGGCAACCCUGAUCCAGCCAUGCCGCGUGAGUGAAGAAGGCCUUCGGGCUGUAAAGCUCUUUCGGACGGGAAGAAAUGGGGCUCUCUAACAUAGGGCGUCGAUGACGGUACCGUAAGAAGAAGCACCGGCUAACUACGUGCCAGCAGCCGCGGUAAU
rnacentral:rRNA from 1 species